GCCGGCGAGCGAGUCUUCGAGGGCUGAAUCCCAAAUGCUUCAAAGCUCCUUAUAUGCGUACACUAUUUAGGGUAUUGAAAAGGAUACACAUAGUGCACUAUAUAGUGCAAUAUGGAGGCAUUUGGGCGUGAGACAAACACGAUCUGGCGCGGGAUUCGUUUGUUUUUUCAGGCUGAGGCUGUGAAGUUGUAGCUGUAGCUGUAUGUACUGCGUCGGCAGCUUGCUGUCCUAACUGACUGAAGUGAAGAAUGAGCAGUGCUCAGUGUAGUGAUGAAGUGUGCACUCCGGGUAGCAGCACGAGAGCCGCCGAGAGCACAGAGCUGUUCCAAGACCUGCUGGAGCGUCUCAGAGAGUGCCAUGAUAAUGCAGUGCAAGGACUGCAGUUAAAAGUCAAUAAACUGAAGAAGGAGCGUUGUUUUGAUGCGCAAAGACUGGAGGAGUUUUAUAACAAGAAUCAGCAUUUACGUGAGCAACAGAGAACACUGCAGGAAUCCAUCAAAGUCCUGAAAGAAAGAUUACAAUCUGGACCUUGUGAUCGCUGCAGAGAAACAGAAAAGCAGAUGAAAAAAACACAAGCUGUGUUUGAAAAUCUCCCACUCCUCAAUGAACUCCAGUCUGAGAGAAAUAUGCUUAAAGAAGAGAACAGGAAGCUCAGUCUUCAGCUAGAGCAAUUACGUGGACAACUCUGCAUGUUUAGUUUUGCGCAGACCUCAGUCUCAGAGCCAGAGGAAGGCAUGAUCCCAGAUUCACCAAAGCAGCCACUGUCCUUUCCUGUAGUCAACAAGAUGAAGCGCAAGAGAGAUCAGAGCCACGUUCGCUAUGCUGAAAAACUGCUUUCUCAGCCACUACCUGACCCCCAGAAAAGAGAGCUGGCUACAUUCUUGUCCUGCCAUGCUGGAGCUGUGCUUGUUCCAGAGACAUGUGAUAUGGAUGUAACAAGUAUUACAAAGUGCAAUACCAAGAUUCAUGACAGAACUGUGGUUGCAGAAAGUUGUCAUAUCGACCUAAAUUCUGAGCAGAUGCCUGAGACGGAUGUAAACUCUCAGAACUUUCUCAGUGACCCUAAGCACAAGGCAAAGAAUUUCACUAGUUGUCCGGGGGACGAAGAGCAGAAUAUGGGGAAGAAUCAUGACAGGCCAAAGUCUUCAGAGAAACAGUCUAGCAAGCACAUUGAGCAGGAACCAUGCAAAAGAAGAAGCUGGGAGACAGAACGGGCCAUGCCUGAUGCCCCAUGUACGAGUCCAUGUACUCCAUGUGAGAGUCCUUUGUUGAGCCAGAAUUGUAGUCCAAAUGAUGAGAGCUGGAGCAUGGACCCAGGUGCCGCUCUGUCCCAAUAUGACACAAGUAUCCUUCCUCAACCAGAGCCCAAAAUACAGGCAGAGACUGUAGACCUGGACUGCACAUACGUGAGUCAUAGUUUGCUAGUAACUCACCAAAAGCAGACUGAAUUGGACCAGACAAACAGCAUCACAGGAAUAGGGCAGAAGGCUAAUGACAGCUUAGCAAAUAUCUUUGAUACCACUGGGAAUGAAGAUUAUGAGUCCUGCCCUCAGGAUGAGAUGAGUGCCUUGGAGAAGGAGGAGGAAUGUGAAAAACAGAAGGAGGACAUGAAACAAGAUGAACAGAUGGAGGAAGCAAAGUUUAUGGAUGGGUAUUGUGGUGGAUCUGGAGCUUAUCCCAGGAACAUUGGGCAUGAGGAAGGAAUACACCCUGGAUGGGAUGCCAGUCCACUGCAGGGAACCAUGUACACAAACAUUCACAUACACAUUCCCACCUAGGGGCAAUCUAUGUUAGCUCUCAACCUACUGACAUGUUUCUGGGAGAUGGCAGAAAACCAGAGAUCCCUGAGGAAACCAACACAGCCAACCUGCAAUUCCUUUCCCACAGUUUGAAUGCCUCUGAUCCAGAGUAAUCUUUACGGUUUUGAUGUGGAGCCACCCCAAGCAGCAGAGGGAGUCAGAAUGAGGCACCAGCAUCCCAUCAGGCAGCAGGAGUAGCAACACUGUAUUUAAUAUGUGGUGUAUCAGACAGCAAGGCCCUGCUGAGGAUAGUGAAGAAAGAAGAGAACAUCACAGGGGUCUCUCUGCCUCCAAUACAGGAUAGUUACCACAAGUGCUGCUCUUUAUCCCUCUGCCAUCUGGCAGAAGUUGCAGAAGAUUCUUUCCUCAAGCUAUCAAAAACUGUCUCCCAUACACCUCCCUUGGAAAUAAUGGGACACAAACCCAGAAUUGUGUACUAGCCAAUCACCUCGUCUGGCUAUCUAUUCGUACAUCAAAGCAUAUUCACACUAGGGUGGUCUAUAUAAUAAUUUUAGAUGAUCAGCAAUUAAUGUUUCCUCCUCAUUUUCUUGGGCAGUAUAGUGACAAGGAGAAGUAGGCACAUUAAAAAAUUCAGCAUCUGUUAUAUGGAUCUGGUGGAUUUUACACAGUGGACAUAGCUGAAACAGUGGUUGUUUGCAAAGCAUGCAGAAGCAUGCUUGUCUUGAUUAACCACAAGAAAAAGGUCAACAAAUGAAUGGCUUCAGAAAAAGAUGAUCAGUAUUUUGGAAUGGCCCAGUCAGAGAUCUAAGUCUCAUUGAAAACCUGUGGAAUGACUUGGAGAGGGCUGUGCACAGGAGAUCCCCUCACAAUUUGAUAGAUAUGGAGCAUUUGGAAUAAAAUUGCCAAAACAAGCUGUGUUAAAUUGUUGGAUUCUUGUGCUGUAUUACAAGCAAAAGGUGCUAUUGACACAUUAUUAGCUAAGGGGUGUGAACACUUGUGCCACUAGAUUAUUGUACUUUUUCUUUUUUUUUUUCCUUAAAACGUUUGUUUGUUUUCACUUGGAUUUUGUUGAUAUAGACAUAUCAGAAAAAAGGAGAGAAAAAAAGUCUGACAUGGUUUAUCUUGGUUUCAUUUUUUAUAUCACAAAAACCUGCAAUUUUAACAGGGGUGUGUAGAAUUUUUACAUCCAAUGUAAUGGCCAUCGAAACAGUCCAAAGCAAGGAUUUUAAAUGGCUACUAAAAAUAGUUGAUCCUCAUUACAACUUGAGGGGAUUGUGAUAAUAUACUGUCUUUGUUUUCGCUAAACAUAGCGGUGUGCAUGAUGACCAAACAUUCAAUUCAAUUCAAUUUUAUUUGUAUAGCACUUUUAACAAUGGACAUUGUCACAAAGCAGCUUUACAGAAAUAAUUAUAUUCAAAUUUAAUUAAACCCAAAUAAAUUGUAAAUAUUAUUGUAGUAAUACUGUAAAUGAAUUUAUCCCUAAUGAGCAAGCCAGAGGUGACGGUGGCAAGGAAAAACUCCCUGAGACGAUAUGAGGAAGAAACCUUGAGAGGAGCCAGACUCAAUAGGGAACCCAUCCUCAUCUGGGUGCUAACAGAUAGUGCAAUUAUAAAUAAAUCCCUUCAUGGACAAAUAGUGUAAAUUCAUCACAGUUUUCACAUAAAAUCCUGUUUGUUGAACCUAUUCACUGUCCACUGAUGGAGUCCUAAGUACAAAAUUGCUUGCGGCAACCGCAGCUCCAAAGCCACCACAGCAAUCGCAGUCCCAAGCCAUCACAGUACAACUCCCCAUACAUCUCCACCUUGGUCUUAUCAGUCCAAAGGAUAUUGUUCCAAAACUUUUGGGGUUUGUUCAGAUGCAGAUUUGCAAACCUAAGUCAUGCUGCCAUAUUCUUUUUGGAGAGAAAGGGCUUUUUCCUAGCCACACUUCCAUGAAAACCAUACUUAUUCAGUCUUUUUCUGAUUGUGCUGUCAUGAGCAUAAACAUUUAAUGUGCUUACAGAGGCCUGUAGCUCACAUGAAACAGUCUUUCAGCCUGUAGCUCACAUUAAACAGUCUUUCCUUUGACUGAAACAGUCCUUCUCACUGUAGAAUGGUGAAUUUCAAAUUGUUUGGUAUUACCUGAGAUUAUUUUUUUUGCUUAUAGAAGUUGAUAGAGACCACAGAAUUGUUAUUUAGACCCUAUAAGUAAAAACAGAAUUGAAGGAGGAUACACUUUCUUUUUCCCAUGACUGUAGGAUACCUUUGUAUGCUGCAGCAUUACAGUUUCCCUUCAGUGGAACUAAAGGGCCUAGCCCAAACAUGUUCCAGCACGUCAAUGCCCCUGUGCACAAAGCAAGGUCCAAUAUAGACAUUGUUUACCAAGGUUGGAAUGGAUGAACUUGAGUGGCCUGCACAAGGCCUUGACCUCAACCCCUACUGAACACCUUUGGGGUGAACUGGAAUGUUGACUGCGCCCCAGACCUCCUCGCCCACCAAUUGGUGCCUGGCCUCACUAAUGCUCUUGUGGCAGAAUGGGCAAAUCUCCACAGCCACAUUCAAAAAUCUAGUGUACAGCCUUCACAGAAGAGCGGAAGUUAUUUUAACAGCAAAUGGGGACUAAAAAGCACAUAUGAGUGUAAUGGUCAGGUGUUCACAAACUUUUGGCCAUAUAGUGUACAUAUGGCUAGAAUGAUGAUAAAGCUCUCUACAACAUCUACUCCUCCUCAGUCUCCUCAUAUUCUCUCAUCCUCCUCUCAACCCAGCACUCAAUCAUGCCCCAUUGCCACAAUUACGUAUGAAGAAUCGUAUAUUUUUACAUACAUUUUCUUUGUUUUAUUUUUUAAAUGUAACAGGGAUGGCACAGUCUAAUCACAACAUUUGCAUGGACAUUUACUAAU